GUUACUAUAGCAAAGAGGAUACACCUGUUUCCAUUCCGAACACAGAAGUUAAGCUCUUUAGCGCUGAUGGUACUUGGGGGGCAACCUCCUGGGAGAGUAAGACG
rnacentral:rRNA from 1 species